UGUCUUGAGGAACUUGUCUUUGGAUGAUGCUGAGCAGGUCUUUCUUUCUGGUAAAGAUUUUUACAGUGAAGUAGAAGAAUUUAACAGAUGACAGAUUGACAAGAAACUGACAAAAGAAGGGAGACCAUUUAAUAGUCCCUUUAUUUAUCAGGGGUUGCCACAGCGGAAUGAACCGCCAACUUAUCCAGCAUAUGUUUUACACAGUGGAUGCCCUUCCAGUCACAACCCAGUACUGGGAAACACCCAUUUACACUCAUACACCAGAACACGGGGAGAACAUGCAAACUCCACACAAAAAUUACCACUGGCCCAGCCGAGGCUUGAACCAGCAACCUUCUUGGUGUGAGGCGACGGUGCUAACCUAUGUGCUCUAUGCGGGUGAGUGGGCUUGACAAACCACCUGGAGGACACACUCUUGCUGUCUUAAUGCACCAGACAUUUUGUUAUAAAUAAUCAUGUGCGUUUCAUGUUUAAUAAUAAAACUGCUAUUUUAUCUCAUAGUACUUAAUUUUUGUCUUGAUAUUUAAAAUCUCUUGUUUAAAUACACUAUGAACAGCAGCUGCGCUAAUUAUUUUAUUUGUUCCUUAUUUCCACCAGGGAUAUUCAUCCCAGGCCCUCUAGAGAUGUGAAGAGAUGAUGCCACCAUAGAGGACUUCUAGAUGUAUCCAUACUCCUGGACCAGACCGUAUCAUGAGCAGAUGCAAUGGUGGUCAUGGAGAAGUGGAGAGCAUGAGACUGAUUAAUGAAAGACCCAAGUGACAGAUGAGUGCCCGCAUUGAUCCUGUGGUCCAGCCUGAAAAC
rnacentral:lncRNA from 1 species